rnacentral:lncRNA from 1 species
UUUUUCGCUUUCAGAAUACAGGGGAAAGCAAAACUAAUCAAACUAAGCAGAACUAAUCAAUCAGCUGGGAAGAGGGAAAUAAGAAGUUCCGAUAAAUUGCUAAAAUAAGAAGUUGAAUAGAUUUAAGGGAGGAGGAGAGGAAAAGAGUGAAAAAUCUAGAGAUGAAACAAAGGGGGAUCCAUUUUCUGCUAAGACAAAUUGAAAAGCGAGUACAAUAAAUGAAAGAUUUGCAAAGAAGGUGUAGGAUCGAGGACAAGAACGAUUCAAAAAAGGGAGACAGAAAAUGAAGAAGAGAUUUCAGAGGACUCUAGAGAUUAGAGAAGAGGGAUGAUUAGGAAAAUGCAGAGGCAGACAGUUGUCAUCUCAAGUCUCAAGGGUAAUCUGAACUUUAUGAUUUUUUAUUUUUUCAAGAAAUAGAUGUACAAAUAAAAUGAAAAAAAAAAAAAAAAAAACCUGUUGUGUGGUCGUGUGGGUUCCUCGAAAUCACUUCGGCAUUUAAUCGAACGGUUGGAUGUACUCAGCAUCUACACUUGCACGAAGGUUCCUGGAAGUUGCGAGUGCUGCCGGCAUUUUCAAACUCGGAAGGUUUCAAUAAUUCUUUUUCUUUGAAAGAAAGGUUUCAAUAAUUAGCUUUGAUAAUUGUGUAAUAUACGAUAAUCUAGUGAUGAUGAUGACUUAUUUAUGUGAUUAAAAGCUAAGCUGGUGGAUUUGUAAGUAAGAACACACGAGCAACCAUUUUUGUUGAUGCGGGAUUCCGGUUCUCCUCGUUCUACGACCAGGAUCUCUGCCCGAUCAACUUCUUCACGACCAGGAGGUCUCCUCGUGAGGCUUCUUCUCCAGAGGUUCCUGCGCACACAGACAAGUCAGAGUACGCCGGUUGUUUUCCCGGCGCAAACCCUCCGACGCUCAAGUCAGAUAUGAAGGUUCGGGGAAUGCUUGCCACAGAUCUUAUGGCUUUUUCGUGGUUUUCUCUUCUUUUGAAUUUCUUUUCUAAUCUCAAAAAUGCUAACCCUUUUACCUUCGUUGGCUACCUUUUUAUAGGCUUCCCCCGAAUCCUAGUUUUCCGCUUUUUUCGAGACGGUAUGGGACUCUGACUGCUGCGUUAUGGGCAAACGUGGGAUCUUGCGUGUUACGCCACGGUUCUGGGGAAAGCGUGGCUGUCGUGGUUCUGUGAGAUCUUGCGUGUUACGCCACGGUUCUGGGGAAAGCGUGGCUGUCGUGGUUCUGUGAGAUCUUGCGUGUUACGCCACGGUUCUGGGGAAAGCGUGGCUGUCGUGCCUAGAUUCUCGGGCUGGAGAGCAUGUCUUGCCAACUGCCGUCGACCGGGUCUCCUCGCCUCUCGACCUCUAGCCGGAAUGGCCUUAUGCCUCUUACAGGAAAUUGGCCUCGCGGAUGACGUGCUCGUGGACGAGCAGGAUAUUUCUGCUCCUGUUCCCCCGCGCACCAGGCUUUUACGGAACACACCGGUUCGCAGAACUCUGCCAUCAGAUAUCUGCUCACCAUGCCUGGUCUCGUCGACGUAUUUCUCCCAAACACCGGUGACGUAUUUCUCCCAAACAAUUUUUAUCUUCUUAUUGCCACAUUCUUCUAAUCAAUUUGCUUUCACCAACAAAAAUAAUUAAUAAUUUGUAAAUAGUUGGAUCUUAAGCUCAAAUUUUGACAAUACAUGAAUGAUAAUGUAUACUUAUUUUUCAAGGGUAAACUCUAUUCAAGAGAGGAUCUCAAUUUUCUAUUAGUUUCUUCAAAUGGGCAUUUUAUCCAACAGUUGAUGAACUCGAAAACUUACACGAAGGUUCCAGGGAGUUGCAAGUGCCGCCGGCAUUUUUCAAGUAAUCAAGUGAUUAACUUUGAUGUGUAAUAAAUAACUUUGAUUAUUGAGUAAUAUAUGAUAAUCAAGUGAUUUUAAUAUGUAAACGGUAGGAUUUUGGGCUCAUAUCUUUAAAUUAAAAUCAUGAUCAUUUUAUCAUUAAACUCGAACUCUAUCUUGAUUAAUAAACAAUUGAGGAUUUUUCAGGAAUAAAUCUUCAAGAAACUAAAUAUGCUUGGCCUAAUGGAAGUUAUUAAAAUGUCAAAAUUAAACCCUUUUAAAUAUAUUAGGGAUUGUAAAGAAUUUCGGAUAGAUUUGAGUGUUACUGAUAUCAAUUGAGGAUAAUGGGGUGAUAAAUUUAUGGAGGAAACUACCAAAAUCUCUCUGUUGUUCUGCGAAAUUGACUAUUUCUUCUUUCUCGUUUUCCUUCAAAAUUUCGCUUACGUACAUGGAUAAAAUAUUUCAUUUUUCAACAGGUGAUGUAAGAUAAUUUUACCUUUUUAAUUUUCCUUGGGAAUUUUAUAUCUAAAUCAUGUUAAAGUGGACCAAAAAGACAAAACAUAGAAAGCGACAAUCCAACAACUAGGUAAAUUUAUUGGGAAACACUAUUUCUGCUAAUUGAAGAAAAUCAAGAAAUGCUGAUUCCGUCAUGCUUAGUUUCAUAAUCAUUAAUAUGCUUUUAUACGAAUCCUUGUUUUUGAAUAUAAUAAUGGUUUAAGAAAUGCAUACCUGUUAGUUCUCCAUUUCUUGACUCCGAGGAAAAUUUGACUUGACAGAUGAAGCAAUGUUAUAAGAGGUUUCAUACACAGCUUCUACGCGAUCACUACCAUGCUUACAUGUAAAACGUUGCUGCCAUGUCAUCAUACUGGACAGACCUUCAGAGGUUACUCUUCGAAGCGUUUCAUUAUGCCACGUGUACUUGGUUAUUUGACUAAUCACGGUUCACAAGUUGAGUGAGUUACUCACCACACCACCUUCCUGCUGCAAAGAAUUUUAAUUGAACUUUGACUUGGUCAGAAACUCAGAAUGAGUGGUGCACGUGAUGCAUACACGUGAGGACCCAAAUGACGAAUUCCAAACGCUGAGUGAUGUACGUGUGAACUAAAUGUUUUCAUUUUAAUACCAGCGGCAAUCACGUACACGUUUAAUGAUUUGAUUAAAUUUGUGUUUAGUUCUAUAAAUGAUUUCAGUCAUUGUUAUGAUUUUUUUGGGUUGACUCGACGGAGCAACUAAUAAUUUCCCAGUUCUGCUACUAAAUUUAUUUCCCACGAUUUGAUUAAACAGAGCUCCACUAAAACUUCAAUUCAUUUCACUAUUGUAAUAGAGGUUUCAUUCACGUUGAAUACCCAGAAUAAUUACUGAUAGUUAUAUAUGGAAUGCUACUUCAAUGUAGCUUACUGCCGCAAUAAUACUCAAUGACUUUCGAUGACAAAAAAAUUUAUCAUUAGAAUGACUGUAAGUUCAUCUAAUGCCGAGUUUCAUCAUUAACUACCAAAAUACUCCAGAAAUCCAAUACAUUUAACUAAACACAAAUUUAAUCAAAUCGUUAGACACUCAACCUGAAAGUGGAUUCGAAGUAAUAUUAAUGAAAACAAAGAAACAGGGGGACCCUCUUGAUCGCCAACGCCAUCUUACCCUUGAUAAAGAGAAAGAAGUCAAGCUCCAUAUAAUAUAAUGCCUCACAAAUUAUACAGAAAAAAAUGGCCUCAUUUCAGAUGCUACAUAGAUGGUUUUCAUGAAUCCUCGUUUUGUGUGAUGAUUUUUUUUUUUUUUUGACAUUUAAUAGAGUAUACAAAAUAAAAAUAAAAAUUUAAAAUUUACUAGAUGAGCCAAUAAAGUAUAGUAGUGUUCAGAAAUUUUUUUUUUUCUAGAAUGUAAAUAACCCACCCAAAGUAAUUUUAUCUUAUUAGACUGAGGUUCUCCCCCCUCCCCCACAAAAAAAAAAAAGCUGCUUCUUGGUUUUUAAUGCAAACACGAUUACACGAAGAGCUUUCGUUAAUAGUGCUUUUAGAUUGGAUUUCUAUGUUAAAAUAUAAAUCAGUUUUAGAACACUAAAUUGAGGGAGAAUGUUGGAUUUGAUCUUAUUGUAGGCAACUUCAAGAGUGUAAGAAACUGCUCCUGGAGCGUGCUAUUACAUGUUUUGUUUGUGGAAAAUGAUAUUUGUGCUGUCAAUUUUAUGCUGCAAUGGCACUAUAGCAUAAGCAAUACCCAUAUUUCUGCAUGUCUUCCGAAUAUCUUGCAGCUGUUCAAAUAACAAUGCUCUUUGUUUGCCUACAAACCUCUAUUUUCUGUCAACAUAAUCGAGGUAGCAACCCGCUAAUAAUUUUGUAAAUUGAGCCUGGAUGAAAAAUUGAUGAAUGUGUGGGUGAGAAUAAUCAUUACUCAAAUCUUUCACUGAUGUCCUAAAUGAUUUCUCCUUCUAUAGAUUACAGUGGUUGGUUAUAAUCACAAAUUGAGGAUCUUGCUGGAAGCUGUUGUUCAAAAAAUUGCAGAAUUCAAAGUGAAACCAAACAGAACACUUAUUUCUGUUCGAAUAGCCGCCGUAAAGUUUGAAUUGGGCAAUUUUUUGGACAAUAUGUUUCCAGCAAGAUCCUCAAAUUUGUGAUUAGAACCAACCAGUGUAGCCUAUGGAAGCAAAAACAACCAUUUAGGAGAUUAGUGAGAGACUUGAGUAGUGAUCUAGUUCCGCACUGGUCUCAGCCUUCUCUUCAGUCUCUUGCUCUUUUGCUUUCGUCUCAGAAACUCCGCGCUGAAUGCCCGUACUUUCACUCUUCCGCUUCUCUGUUUCUGCCUUGAUAUCAUCAAAGAUGGCAUUAAUCGUAGAAUAAGCAGAUAACAAUCUAAAGUGAAGGAGGCCAAAGGAAAGUGAGAUUAAAAAACAAACAGAAGCGAGGGUUUUUUUCAGACGAAAACGGAAACAAGAAAAGGACCAAUUCGAAGAGCUGACAGAACGGAUGACUGAAUAAGAAGUGAGUUGAUUAUUUUAUACAGCCAAUUCAUGUAAUGACAGAUCUGGUUUCGAUCUUUGUAAUUUAAAUGUAUUAUCAGUACGAGGUGAAGGACUUUUUUGUCGACUCAGUCCAACACAAAUUCAAAUUACUAAAGCAACGUGAUACUGGUUUUGAUCUCUGUAAAUUAAGCACAUCAAUACGAGGUGACUCUCACAAGACUUUUGAUGUGCUAUUGCCAGUCAAAUAUGAGACGAAAUCUGAAUAGACUCACUUAGUUGUGUUAUUAUUUAGGAGGUCGAGUCCAGAUAACAUCCAGCUCACUUGCUUUCUCAAUGACCAACAUUUUGUGAGCCAAGCGUUCGACUUCAAACCACUUAGUGCCUGUUUGGUAUGGCUUAUUUAAGAGCCAUAAGUGCUUAUUUAAUCGUAUAAGCACUUUUUAAAAUUUUUUAUGGUGUUUGGUUAUUUUUUUAGUAGAGUUUUUUUAGCUUAAAUAAGCUAAUUUACCUCUACUAACAAAAGCCCAAAAUUUGAGCUUUUGGGAGUAGAGGUUAUAAAGCUUUUCUAAAAAUAUCUAAUAUAAAAAAUAUCACACAAUUUAAUGGUUCAAAAGUACUUUUUUUAUUGACAACCAAACACCCAAUGACUUUUUGUCCAAAAGCUCUAUUGGUAUAAGCUCUAGUGCUAUAAGCUCUACUGUUAUAAGCUUUACUGUUAUAAGCUCUAUUUAAUAAGCUGUACCAAACGGAGCCUUAAUCUGAUUAGAUGAAUUUUCAAGCCGAAAAACAUGCUUUAAUUAAAAACAGAGACAGCAGGUGCCCUGUACUCAGGAUCCGAUCAUACAUAUACAAAGAAUAUCUGCUAUUAAGAAUUUCACAUCUCAAGUAGUUGAAAUUUAGUUUCGAAAGAAAAGAAUGGAAUAAUUGAUAAUAACAAUAAAUUACUAUAUCGCAUGCAUGUUCAGGUGACUUAAUUUGCAUUUACUCUUGCAAUGCCUGACGUGCGCACGUGAUCACAAAAAUAAACUUGAAUAGAAUCUCUCACAUUCACCAGAAAAUUGUUGCACAUAAUAAUAAUACAAGGGAUGCACAGAAAUGGUAAGUUCACACAUCUUUAGUUAAGAUGAUCAAAUGAAGGAAUUGCACACCUAUUUUUACGCUUCCAAAGCUGUAGCGACAGCGUGUAAGUUAAAAUACAAUUGAGGGUGCGUUUGGGAUUGAGGUUGGGCAGCUGUAGCUUAAAAGCUACAGCACUAAAAUGUUUGGUAAACACUAGCUGCUGUAGCUUUUAAGCUAUGUUGAUAUGAUUUUUCACUUGUAUAAUAUAAAAUUUAUUAUAUCUUUAAUAAUUUUAUCAAAAUUAUUAUUUAAAAUUUAUAUUUACUAUAUAUUAUUAACUUUUGUUUCAUAAUUACAGCUUUUUUUUCACAGCAACUGUAGCUUAAAAGCUACAGCACCUCAAUCCCAAACGCACCCUGAAACUAGUUUAGUCGAAGCUCUCAACAUGUGAUGUUUCGCAGAACGAAUACCAGUUUCAGAGAAAUAUUAUCUAAUUUUACACACCUUUCACGGAAUACCAAAAAAUAAAUGAUCAAAUAAAAGAUUACUACAAAAAUACAUUCCUAUCAAUCAUCAUAUAAUUUCAAACUAUAUCUAUUUUUUUUUUUUAGGUUAAUCGAAGGUUCCUGGAAGUUGCAAGUCCCUGCCGGUGUCAAAGGGAAGGUACCAAUCUCGUGUUCGUCCUUCCAAUGUCAAAGGGAAUACUCUGCACCUCUACGCUGGUGUUAGCCCCUGCACUCCAGUCAUGUCGUUGAAGUGCUCGACGUGCACCAGCGGACCACUUUUUCCUGAGUAUUUGAGGUCGAGAAAAUGAAAAUUUCUUGGCAUCAUAGUGCCCAUGAUUUCAGCUGAAAGCCGAGAUUAAUCAUCCAGCAUUAUUCUCCAACUGAGGGGCUUUCUCCUACCCUGCAUUUCGUCUAUUAUUUGUGCCAAUCACCAUACUUCUCCCUCCAGUUCCAAGGCUCGAGCAUGUGCUGCCUGAGCUCCCUUUUUUCGGUAUUCGCUCCUCUGCUACAACUUCCUAAGAUUCGUCCGUUGUGUAAUUGAUCUCUCCCUUCAUGCUCACAUUCUCUCAAAGUAUGAGUUCCAACUCCAUUGUUAGGCACCCCAUUGAGUUGUCCCCCUUAUUGAAGGGAUCUCCUCAUUUCUAUUCCUCCGAUGACUGGGCUUUGUGGCUGUUAAAGAUAUAAAUGUAAAGAAUAUUCUUGUAAUGGUUUUGCUGAUGUGGCAGCUGAGUAAGCAAGGUUGUUAUUGUUAGUUUGUAAGUUUGUUAUAGAGCUGGGAAAGUUAGUUAAUCACAACUUAUUCUUUACACGUGUGUGAGCAAAUGUAGAAGGUUCUGGAUCUCAGUAUAUAAGCUCACUUUCUAUACUCAUAAUUAGUUGAAUAAGAUUUGAUCUGUUUUUCUUAUAUUUUCUCUUAAUGCUCAUUAAAUUUUCCCUCACUUUCUCUGCAACCAAACAAGCACAAAUAACUUGAUUAAACUUCAAUUUGGUAUCAGAGCUAGAUUUAGUCUAAUCUCGUGGCGUUAUCACGCUUGAACACAAACAUCUCAUCUUCAGCCACAACCUUUACCUUCACACCUCCAAUAAAACUUGACUGAUCAAAUUACUUAAUCUGGAAAUCUCAAAUCCUAUCUUCAGUUCGAGCAAAUGAACUUGAAAGUUUGCUUGAUGGAUCCAGAAUCUGUCCAGAUCAAUUUCUCUCAAGCACUCAAGGAAAUGCAGAUGCUAUCUUCAAUGCUUCUGUAAGUUCAAUUGUUGCUUCACGAGAGAAUCCUGAGUUUGCUGUGUGGAGAAAGCAAGAUCAGAUGUUACUGAGCUGGCUGUUAUCCUCCAUCAGCGUUGAAAUCCUCAGUCUUGUGGUAAACUCUAAAACUUCCUAUGAACUGUGGUCUAGUUUAGAGCAACAAUUUGGAUCUGAAACUGUUGCUAAGAAAGUUCAUCUCAAAAUGAUGUUGAAUAAUUUGAAGAAAGGAUCUAUGACUAUGACAUAAUAUUUUAGUAAGUUGAAGUCAGUUACUGAUGAGCUUGCUAUUGCUGGAAGUCCUGUUAGUUCUUUGGAUUUUAUAACUCAUCUCAUCUCUGGAUUAGGUCAGCCUUAUUAUCCAGUAGUUGUGUAUAUUGAAGCAAAUGUUCUAAAAAUGAUUAUUAAUGAGGCUUAUUCAAUGUUGUUGACACAUGAGGCACGUUUAGAAAGUAAUCAAUCUAAUGCUUUCAAGGAAGUGAAACACAACUAUGCUGCUAACUUAGCUCAGGCUGGAAACAAUCAAAAGAAAAUUAAUAAUCAGGGAGGCUAGAAUAACAAUAAUCAAGGAGGCUGGAAUGGAAACACUGGAAACAAAACUGGAUUUAAUAACUAGAAUGGAAAUUUUACAAACAGAGGAGGUUUCAAUCCAGGAAGGGGGCAAAAUUCAGGCAGAGGACAAUGGACUAAUAACUGGAAUAACUGGAAUGGAAAUCAAGGUAGAGAUAAUUUUGCUGGUGCUGUUGGAAAUUUUUCUGGUGGAUUUCCUAGUGGUUUUAAUGGAUUUGGAAGAGGAGGAGGCAGAGGAAGUAUUGUUUGUCAGAUUUGUUUCAAGCACAAUCAUACUGCAGCUGAUUGUAAAGACAGAUUUAACAAAAACUUUGUUCCAAAUUUUUCUGUGCAAGGAAAUUUUCCAGGUCAGAAUCAAACUUCCAGAGUUGCUUUCACGGCUACAUCAGAAGGAGUUGCUGACCAAGGAUGGUAUCUAGAUAGUGGAGCAACACAUCAUCUUACAAACAAUGUAGAGAACUUAGCUGAAGGUAAACCUUAUUUUGGAUCUCAGUUGCUGUUAGUUGGUAAUGGACAAGGUCUUAGAAUCACUUACAUAGGCAAUAUAUGUCUCUUUAUAUCCUUAGGUAAUCAGUUAAACCUUUCUAAUGUUAUGUGUGUUCCCAAAAUUACCAAAAAUCUCAUUAACUUGUCUAAACUUCUCUCUGACAAUCAUAUAACCAUUGAAUUUGUUUCUAAUCUUUGUUUCAUUAAGGACAAGAUGCAAGGAACUUUGCUGGCACAGGGAAUUGCUGAAGAUGGUCUCUUUAAGCUAUUGCCUCAAGAUACACCUAUUCCUGAUUCUAAAGCUUCGGGUUUAAAACCUAGUUCAAUGUUGUCUGUUUUUUCAAAUAAAGAGAUUUUACACUCUUUGAAAGAGUUGAAUAACCAAACAAAUGUCUGUUCCAAUUUGAUCAAUUCUAAUAAUGAGAAUUCUGUCAGUUUUUUAGCUUCUAGUAGUGAGUCUAUGCAGUUGUUGCAUAAUAGGUUUGGUCAUCCAACCAAACAUGUUUUGCAAACAAUAAUGAUAAGUCUCCCCAUGCAUUCAAUCCAUUCUCAAUCUCUUAACUUUUGUGAUGCUUGUCAAUAUGGCAAAUUACAUCAAUUUCAUUUUCCAGUCACUGAUAUAAAAUCAAAAUUCCCUUUCCAACUCUUAUAUGCUGACUUAUGGGGUCCAGCUUCUGUGUUGUCCAUGGAUGGAUACAAGUACUAUAUUUCCUUUGUUGAUGAUUUCACAAGAUAUUGUUGAAUAUUUCCACUCACACUUAAAUAUGAGGCAUUUGAAACCUUCAAACACUUCAAGUCCCUUGUAGAAAAACAAUUUUCUUUAUCCAUCCAAACACUACAAACUGAUAUGGGGGGUGAGUUUAUAGCUUUCAAAUCAUUUCUACAAUAAGAAGGUAUUCAGUUUAGAUAUAGUUGCCCCCAUACUCACCAUCCAAAUGGUGUAAUUGAAAGGAAGCAUAAGCAUAUUGAUGAAACUGGACUCACACUCUUAGCUCAAGCUCACUUACCUCUCUCUUUUUAGUGGGAAGCUUUUCAUACAGCCACCUACUUAAUUAAUAGAAUGCCAACACCUAUUCUCAACAAUUUCUCUCCUUUUUAGAAACUAUACAAUCAGCUUCCAGAUUACAAAUUUCCUAAAGUGUUUGGUUGCUCAUGUUUUCCUUUUCUUCGACCUUAUAAUCAUCACAAGCUAGAUUUUCAUACUAAAAAAUGUGUCUUCAUUGGUUACAGUCCCAUUCACAAGGGCUACAAGUGUCUUGAUUGAACUGGGAAAGUUUUUGUUGCCAGACAUGUUACCUUCAAUGAACUGGAAUUUCCGUAUUCUGAACUGUUUUUGAAAAACAAGUCAAACAUAUUCUCUCAUUCUGAUAUCUCCACUCCAUCUUCAGUUCAUUUCUUUCUUCCUCAAACACCUAUUCUCAGUAAUAGUAGCAAUGAAGAGCCAUGAGCUGCAGUCUCCAGUCCUGCUUUGUCUUCUGCAUCAGAGUCUCAUUCCUUGCAAAAUUAUGUUCAUUCACAAUCCCUUGAUCUAUCUUCAAGACCUUCAAAUUCUUCUCAACCAGUACUCUCUACUCAUCAUAUGGUUACCAGAUCUAAAGCUGGUAUCUACAAACCCAAAACCUAUCUAGCUGUUUCUCAAGACCUUGAACCAUCCAAUGUCAAAACGGCAUUGGCAGAUCCUAGGUGGUACUCAGCUAUGAAAGAAGAAUUUGAAGCUCCCCAAAGAAAUCAAACUUGGUCAUUAGUGCAACAUCAUCCGUUGUCGCAUUUGCAUCAUAAGCCCUUCUUUGCUCGUUCCUUAACUCAUGUAAGAUGGCGGUGAGGGUCUCCAUCUGCCUCUCCAUACACUUUAUUCGCUCAUGCAUCACUCUUUCCCGUGCCUCAUUUACCAUCUCUCUUAGAGUGAUCGUCUCACUGGUCUCAUGCUUGUCUCCUUGGGCACUAUUCCUUCCUAUAUCCAUGUCCACACGCCUGCUUUUCCCUAUGAGUUGCUUUGCUAGUGGUAGCUUUUUGUUCAACUCCCCACAGACGAUGCCAAAAUGUUGAUGCUGAAAUAUGGUCGUACGUGGAAGGGUAACCAGGUUGUCUCGUCAACGCUUAAGUUUGCUCUGGGUGAGGCGCGAAGCUGCUUGUUCUCUCUCCAAUCAAAUGGGUUUAAUGACCUCAACUAACCUUGCUCCUUCUCUUCUGACCUGUACUCACACGAUUAGAUCAAAGGUGCCGGCGGUUUUUCCAGCGAGAACUCUCCAAUACUUAAGUUAGUAUGCAGGGUUUCGGAAAAAAAAAAAACGUUGAAUUAUCAAUCUAUCAAAACUAACAAUUCUUAAAUGAAGGAAGUGUUUCAGAAAGCUUUUUGGAAAUAAGUUCUAGAUCCAAAAUGGCAGAGUUUUCCCCCAUUUUUCCUUUUUUUUUCUUUUUUCCUUUUGUUAUUUUUUUUGGGUUUUUAUAGGCAGCCUCCCCAUGUAUCUAGAACAUCCCCACGUCUUCCAUAUUCGGGCCUUCAUGGGUUUAGAGGAUUUGUGAAAAUCGUGCAUCCGUUAUCGUGCCUUUUCCCGCAUGGUCGGGAAAUGGCGAAACCGUCGCCUAGAUAUGGUAUUGUAUCUGAUAUUUAAGGAAUAGUUCUCUGGUCGACUUUUAGCCAUACAUCAAAGAGGACCCUAGUACUAUUGUGUCUGCUCAUAAUACACCGACCCGAGGAGAUUCUUACCUCGACCAGGCGAAAGCAUGUGUGGCUGGUGCUCUGGUAGUAUAAUCACCCUAACAAAGACGAUUGAGUAUGUUGAUUGAGAUGGAGAAAGACUUGCAGAGUUGGGAGAUGUGCGUCGGCCCAAUGGUAACCGAUUAUUUGAUUUGUACAGCGGCAUUCACUGACUUUAUAUUUUUAAAAAAUUAAGUCAGCAGAACUAAAUGAACUGAGGUAGUGUGUUCGAUUAUAUUAAUUUCUUUUUCUUUUUCAUUGAAAUGAACGCAAAGAGUGGACGAAGAAUUAAAAAAACUUGCGCGAAAUGUGAGGUGAUGAUAAGAGUGAGAAUCCCAAAAUCGGAUCAUAAGUAGACCAAUAGAUUAUCCCACCAUCCAUAGAUUUCAUGAUGGGAUUCGUUUAUUCCAUCACGGAACCGAGCACCAGUAGAUUGUGCCACUGGCCACAACCUCAGCUCCCACGCAAAAGCUUAUCUCAUAUUUGAACAGUUGGCCCACUCCUUGAGUCGUUGGCUUUUCAGUCAACAAAAUAUCACAGAAAACUAAUUAAGGCCAAAAGUUAAAACGAAGAGGCCCCAUCCACCCAUGUGCUUCUAAUUAUAGAAUCUUCACCUAAUUUUCAAGAUUGAUAUUUGAAAUAAAAUUUGAUUAAAAAUUGACAAAAAUAUACUUAAAAUAAUGUCAUUUUAGGUGAAUUUUUUUUUCUAAAUUAGAACCAGAACGAUAUCAUUUUCAAUUUAUAUUUUUUAAAAUUCAAUUUUGUGCCUUAUUUUAGUCUUCCAAUCAUUUUUCAAAUUUCAAACAAAUGAUUCUUAUCUUAUUCAAUCUUUACCUUUUCCUUUUCUCAAAAGUAAACGAAAAUGAAAUAAAAAAGGUUAAAAAAAAAUAGUAAAUGAUGAGACUCGGAUCGGGUGGCUCGCAACUUGGAUGAAGAUUCCUGACAGUUGCUAAUGCCGUCCACAUCUUCCAACCUGCAAUUUGGAAGACCGUUCAAGCUUUCUACAGUAGCUUUUAAUUAAUGACGAUUAAGUUUUGAUUAUUUGACGUUCUUCGUAAAAUGAGAGUAUUUUGAGGUAAUUGAUCAAAUGAAAGAUUACCAUUCAUGAUCUAAUUCCCUAAAUAAUAAAAACACUUGGUCUCAGCUGACUUGCUUCAAAUCAUUAAAUAAUUCUUUUACUUGCUAUUAUUGUUCAUAAAAUAUAUACAAAAUUAGAGCUUGUGUGACUUUUUUUUAGGGUGAAAAUAUUUCUAACUCACACGCUUUACAAAAACUGAAGCCUUUCUUCUUCUUUUUCUCUUCCCCCCCCCCCCCCCCCCCCCCCCUUUCUUAAAUGACAAUUAUUGCAUAAUUGUGAACGAUUGCAUAUUUAAGCCUAAUUUCUUAAUGAUCUAGGUUACGAGUGUAGUAUAUAUACUAGAAUUUAAUAAUGAUGAUCUAUUAUUGAAAUAUAACAAUGGACUUUAGAUAAUAGGAAGAAAGCCCAUUUAUUACAUUAAUACAUUAUAUCAGUGAGAUGAUGCUAAUUUAAUGAAACUCAUGUCCCAAGUUAGGAACAGCUACAUGGGCAUUUCAUCGAACAGUUGAUAUGCUUGGCAGAUAAUCGAAUUUUCCUGGAAGUUGCAAGUGCUGCCGGCAUUUUCAAAAUUGGAAGACCAUUCAAAGGUUUUCAAUAAUUAGCUUUGAUAUUACACGUGUGAUAAUCUUGUGAUGAUGAUGAUUUUAUGUAUCUAAUUAUAAGCUAAGCUUAGUGGAUUUGUAAGUAAGCACACGGCAAAGUAUUUAACCUUCUUAUUGUCGCAUUCUUCUAAUCAAUUAGCUUUCACCAACAAAAAUAAUUAAUAAUAAUGUAAAUGGAGGAACUUGGGAUCAUUAACCAGGGAGGAUCCACAUGUUGUCUACAGUGAGCAAUUGACCAGUAAACUUUUAUUUUUCCAUAAUUUUCUAUAUAAAAUCUUCAUAUUUUCAUGAAAUUACAUAAUUUCUUAUAUAAUUGUCUCCAAAAAAUACCAAUAGGUGCACGAACACAAAUAUGAUGCACACAUCUCUUUAAUUAAUUUAGGGCUUAAAGAGAUUUUAAGAUGACUACAAAUUGAAUAUGGCAGAUCUUGGACACCAUCCAUAAGAAAUAAAACUAGUCUCAAAUUGGAUUUCUGAGUACUCAAACAAAGCUAAAAGAAAGAUAAUGAAUGAAAACUGAAACAAAAAAAUCCUCUCACCAACACCAUAUGACUCUUGAUAUAUAGAAAGAACUUGAGCUCGAGCCUUAUCCAAAAUGCUGCACAAGUAGCGGAAAUCCUCUUUAGAAGCUUGGACUAUCUGUAAACAAAGAGUAAAAACACAUUGAAGGUGCAGUUUUCACAUAAUUUAAUUGCACAAAUUAGCCUCUAUUAAGGACACAAAAUCUUUUAAUUCUCUCUGUAAGCAAUUAAUUUCUUUUUUUAUUUUUCGCUAUGUCUGUCUAACAACUAAUCCUCAACAUAACAACAGAGCAGAGUAGUUAUAUUUUAAAAAGAUGUACCAAUAUAAUUUAACAAAAAUUUCAAUAUAAAUAAAACAUUUUUAGUCAGCAAAAUAGAAUCAAAUCAAAACCUCCCAAAUUAUAUAGAUUUUAUCUUACCACUGUUUUUCGCAUCUUUCUCCUUUUCUUUCGCCUUGGCGGACUUCUCUUUCUCUUUUUCCUCCUUUUCCUAAUCAGAUUUAAAAUGAAUUUAUAAAAAAAUUAAUAUGUACUUUUUUCUUUUUACUUCUUUAUAUAUAUCUGUUAUUAAAUCAGUAAUUUUUAGAAAAAAAUAAAUAAAUCAACAUCUCAUGGUGAAUGAAUACUUACCUUUUUUCUUUUAAGAUAUACGUAUUGAAUGGUUGUAUUAAGGUCGCGAUCCCAAGCCCAAAGUUUAUUAUCAAACACGCUCAGCUGCACUUUCUGUAACUUGGGUGUGCUUAAUUCCCCUUCUGAGAAAAUCUUCAUAUUGGGGCAAUUUUUUACCACUAAUGUUUCCAGAGAUGGGAAUUUGAAGUCGCAAUUAUUCCCAGAGCAGCUGAAACUAGUCAGACUUUUUAAGUCCCAAAGCUUCAAUUCCUUUAAUUCGCUGAAAACAAUUUCAUCUUUUGCUGCAUAAUUAUCUCCCUGAUCAUCCUCAUCUGCCACUAUUUCUGUUAUCAUCCUGGAUGAUUGUAUACUCAUUUUUCUCAGUCGCACCAGACUCCUUGCCGUUGAGGAUGUUAGAACGUUGAUCAUUCCACGGCAACCACAUACCUUCAAAGUUGUUAGGUUCUGAAAGGAUGUCGAGGAUGGCACUAGAUUAGUCAAAUUGUUACACAUGAAUAUCUCCAGCUGUUCCAAAUUGUUGGUAUUGGUUGACACUUGUUUGAAAAUCUGCUUCAGUUCACGACGCUGGUUUAUUCCCCUCAUCAUUGCUUUCAUCCCAUUUUCAAGCUUUUCAAAUGAUCUGUACAAAGGCCCAUUGUCCCCUCUUAUAGAGAGAAUUUUGAUGGUGUGAAAUCUAUGGAGGAAAUCGUCAAGUGAUAAAAUAGUACUUGACUCAUCAAGCCCGACAUCUAGAUAUUUAAGUUUGCAAAGCCAGUCUUCUGGAAAUAGGCCUAUGUGCUUUUCAUCAACACUCAAUUCUUCCAAAUUGGGGAACACCUGGGUGAUCAUCAAUCACGAAAAAAGCAAGAUGGAGUUAACACUUCUUUCUUACGAUUUCACAAAUUAAAGUAAAUACAAAGCAUUCCAAUGAUGCAUAUUGAUGGCCGGACAAAUUUAUAUAUAUGCGGAGAGAGCAUGAUUUUCAGCUGUAAAAACAAAGCAUUCCAUUUAAGUAAUGUGUAUUUUCUUCCAUUCUCUCCUCUUAACUCUUGUCCAGUAGAUAGAUUUUCAAAUUUUAUUAGAUUUGUGCAUAAUCUCUAUGAAAAAAGACUUCAAUUAUUCUCAAAUUGCAUUUAAACUUUGAGAUUCUUUUAAUUGAUCCGUUUAUUUGGUUUGAAUUGAAAAUCUUACAAAUUUCUAUAUAUUUAAAAAAAUAUUGGAGUUUUAACUUUUUCUUAAAGCAAAAAUGAAUAAAUAAUAUGAAUUUUAAAAGUUUAAUAAUAUAGUAAGAAGUUGGUAUUUCAUUAAUAUUCAUCCAACUCAAUGGAAUUGGAUAUAUUUACUAUUGUGCAAGAAUGGAUUUUAUUGUACAUAAAGUUUAAUAGAAUAAGAUUUCUUAAUUUGAGUUUUGUCCAUCUUUCUAUAUAUAUUUCAAAAAUAUUAUUUAUGUUACCACGAGAUGACCAAUUUCUACUUCAACAUCAAAAUUGAUAAUCAUUUUGUAUGUAACAAUAUUGUACAAAGGAGUACUAAUUUGGAAAUAGCUCUUGAACGAUUUUCAGGGAAUUAACUAUGGCUUGAAAAACUCUAGAUCUUAUGAGUAUUUUCUUUGUUUGGCUAAUCAAAUGCACUGUCCCUUCCGUGUAUUUAACUAAACAUGUAGACAUAAAAUAAAAAGUAGAGGAAGAAGAAAAACUCUGAUAAUUAAGAGAAAAAAAAAAUUGAACAAGAAGGAAAAAAAUAAUUGUUUACUAUAUAUCUUUUUUUUUUUCAUUCGGUCUAACUGACAUCCAAAAAAAAAAAAAUUAUGUUUGUAAGGAUAUUAUAAAGUAUAAUUAAAUAAACUGAUUUAUAGAACUAACAUUUUGUUACUAAAAGACGAAGUGAUGAGGGCGAGGAAGACAAUAAAACUCUGAACUCUCAAAGUAGAAAUACUUUUCAGUCCGUAAGAAUUGAAAAAUAAUUACAAAAAUCUCGCACGCGUACCUUUUCAAUAUGCAGAUCACCUGUGCAGAAGCUUGUAAGCUGCGGAAGAGAACGAAGCUCAAGUUUCCUUAAUUGAGUGAGUUCAAUCACUUCAGUACCGUUAUUAUUGCUGGAUUCGUCUCCUCUCUGGGCAGCAAAAAUCACUUCCAUAUUUUGGCAACUACUCACUUUGAAGGACUGAAGUUGUUGAAGGCCUCUGCCAAUGACCAAUGGAAAUACUUUUUUCAAUUUAUCACACCCUUCCACCUCUAUGGUCUUUAAUUUGCAAAAAGACUCUGCUGUGAGUGGACCACGACAUAUUUCCUCAAGGUUCCUUAAAUCUUCCAAAAAUAAUGACUCCAACAGGGGGAAUGCAGUCGUCGGAGCUGGCGUACAAUCCAUUGUGUCAACAAGACGAACAAUGUUGCCAUUACGUCGGAUUUCGAGACGCUUCAGAUGUGGAAAACCUUCUCUGCCUAGUUCACAAAGAAUAUUCUUAAUGUCCGGCAAUCCAUCCAAACUUAGGUCUUCAAUACCCUUCAAUUGCAUGAUAUGCCCCUCGUUCAAGCAAAUGUUGUCACCAUUGGUGAGCUUCAGUCUGAAUAUUCUAGAAAUCCCAUAAGAUGGGCCAACCGACCACCAGUCAUAUACUAUCAAUAUCCUGUACCUUCGCAGCAUUUUGAAGAACGACAAGUCACUCGGUAGAUUCCCUGCAUCUUGGAUGAAUAUUUCUAAAGAAGUCAAUUUAGAUAAACGAUUCAACUCAUGAAGGCUGGCAUUUCUUCUUUCAUCGUCGACUUCAUCAACCUUCCCCCACUCAAUGGGACUCUCACCAACAUAUAGUUCUUCUAAUCGGGAUAAGCUCGAUAAGACAUUAGGGGGAAUAACUCUCAGUCGGUAACAUCGGCCCAAAUCCAACAACCUCAAUUGAGUCAGCUCGCCCAUUUCUUCAACUAGUUUCUCCAUAUCAGAACCUCGAAGUGUAAGUAUUUCUAAUUUCUUCAGGUCUCCAAUAAUAGCUAUGUCUCCUAGUAUACAAAAAUCCAGAGACAAUGUUUGAAGGUUUUGUAAGAGACCAAGCGAUGAAGGCAAUGCCGACAAAUGCAUCUUAGAGAAAUCUAAAACUCUAAGCUCUGUCAUCCCGGUAAAAAUGUUAUCUGGAAUUCUCAAAGAAGGAUCAUUGCGAAUAUGAAAGUAUUUAAGUUGCGGACACUCGAACCCUUGAGGAAGCUCACUAAUAUUACUAUUCUUUAAGGAGAUUGCGGUGCAAACCUUCAGUGUAUCCUUAUCUGGCCAGCUGGUCAGCGGAACAACCUCAUUUUCCACCGCAAACACAUGUUGGACCCUAGAUGCAAUUGAUAUGGCAACAUCACGAACAACAUCAUGCAUAGAAAACCUUUCACUAGUAUCGCCAUCAAGCAGCAAGCAAGAGUUCUUGAGUUUAUCAACCAAUGUAUGUGCUCUAUCCCGUGCCUCUUCCAACGUGUUGAUGUUUUGAAACAGACCCAGACCCAUGCCAUAAUAGAUCACGUCUUCAACGCAAGAGAUGAACGAGUACCCUAUUAGCAAAAACGUUUUCCUGAGUUCCUCACCUUCUAAAUGAUAGUAACUCAGCUCUAAACUUGAAUAGGCGGGCCCCAAAAAAGACUUAUUUUUCAAUUGUCGUAAAGCAUCCUUCCAUACAUAGAGACUCGACUUAUUUUUCAAUGCCUUUGCUACGGGUACAAUGGCAAUGGGCAAACCAGCACAUUCCUUGACUAUCUCUGUUGCGACAGAUUUCAGUUCACCAUUUUCUAUGCAAUCACCUGUCAUCUUCUUGAAAAGACUCCAAGCUUCUUUUUCGUUCAGAACAUCAACAAAAAAAUUUUGUUCACAAUCCAUUUUACAAGACAACACAUCUUGACUUCUUGCUGUCAGCAGAACUUUACAUCCGCCGUUAUCAUCUGCCAAUGGAAUUCCAAUGGCCUCCAAAUCAAGACUCCCCCAAAUAUCAUCCAAGAUUAUCAGGAUCUUUGUCUCUUUCUUCAAUCGUUCAAGCAGCCUCCCUGCUCUUACAGUUUCAUGACUCUGUUCAGCCAAUUCUAAGCCUAUCUUCUCUGCGAUUUCUCCUUGUAUUUCUUUUGUUUGCAGUGUUUGGGAAACACGUGAAGAAAUGACCUUCUCAAAGAGAUUAUUUUCCUUGGCCUGUCUGCCAACUUCUUUCACCAGCGUUGUCUUUCCAAUGCCACCCAUCCCGUACACCCCAAUCAUGUUGAAGUUACGGUUGCUGAGUGCGUCUAGUAUCUCCUUCAAGGUGGACUUUCUCGAUUCAAAGUGCAUGAAAUCCUGGGUAGACUUAAGCCAUGUCUCCUCUGGAAUGGUACGGAAGGAAACACUGUCGAAUCUCCCUUUUUCAUGGAGUCCAACUAUAGCAUUCGCUUCUCUUUCUGCUUUCUUGCUAAGCUGGUACCGAGUCUUCAAAUUAGGACACAACCCUUUCAGACACCGGUUGUUUGACUUCUCUUUGUCUUCAAUAAGUGUUUCGACUUCGUUGAUUGCCUCGUCCACAGUAAUCAGCCACUCCUCAACGUGCUGUUGAAUUCCGUCCCCUUUAAUUCUGGAAUCAGCAACCUUAUGUUGCACACUGUCUCUAGCAUUCUUGAGCUUAUCGACUUCAUUAUUCAGCUUCUCGAAGUUGGUCUUGUAAGUGCAGCAGUAAGUAAAUGGAUGAAUUAUGGGAGCAACCAAGUACUCUGCAACUUUUGCAGCAACGGGGAUAACAAUAUCCAUUAUCCCUUUUUUUUUUUUUUUUUUUUUUUUUCUUUCAGAAAACAGGGGAAAGCAAAACUAAUCAAACUGAGCAGAACUAAUCAAUCAGCUGGGAAGAGGGAAAUAAGAAGUUUGGAUAAAUUGCUAAAAUAAGAGGUUGAAUAGAUUUAAGGGAGGAGGAGAGGAAAAGAGUAAAAAAUCUAGAGAUUAAAGAAAGGGGGAUCCUUUUUCUGCCAAGACAAAUUGAAAAGCGAGUGCAAUGAAAGAUUUUCAAAGAAGGUAUAGGAUCGAGGACAAGGAUUAUUAAGAAAAGGGAGACAGAAACUGAAGAAGAGAUUUCAGAGAACUCCAGAGAUUAGAGAAGAGGGAUGAUUAGGAAAAUGCGGAGGCAGGCAGUUGUGAUCUCAAGUCUCAAGGGUCAUCUGAAUAAUGCAAAAAAGCCAAACUAAAUUCAAACAGGGAGAAGACUCGUGCUUCCAAGUCAACUAUAGAUUCUUAAUAACUGAGAUAGAUGGUUAUAGUUGCAUGUAGAUAGUGUCAAAGUUAUAGGUCAAUUGGACAGCGCAAGGUGGCCUUUUGGCAUUUCAUUGAAUUUUCUUGUUACCAGUAAGUGCUAUGCUGCCGUUGCCGGCCUUUAUGAUUUUUUUUUUUGAAUUUUUAUUGAAUUUUCUUGCGCUUUUCUAAUAACUCCGCUAUAAAGCCCAUGUUUCGGGCCUUUAUGAUUUUUUAUUUUUUUUAAGAAAUAGAUAUACAAAUAAAAUGAAAAAAAAAAAAAAAAACCUGUUGCGUGGUCGUGUGGGUCCUCGAAAUCACUUCGGCAUUUAAUGGAGCGGUUGGAUGUACUCAGCAUCUACACUUCCACGAAGGUUCCUGGAAGUUGCGAGUGUUGCCGGCAUUUUCAAACUCGGAAGGUUUCAAGAAUUUUUCUUUUCUUUGAAAUAAAGGUUUCAAUAAUUAGCUUUGAUUAUUAUGUAAUAUACGAUAAUCUAGUGAUGACGACGACUUAUAUAUGUGAUUAAAUGCUAAGCUGGUGGAUUUGUAAGUAAGAACACAAGGCAAAGCAUUUUUAUCUUCUUAUUACCACAUUCUUCUAAUCAAUUUGCUUUCACCAACAAAAAUAAUCAAUAAUUUUAAAUAGUUGGAUCUUAAGCUCAAAUUUUGACAAUACAUGAAUGAUAAUGCAUACUUAUUUUUCAAGUGCAAACUCUAUUCAAGAGAGGAUCUCAAUUUUCUAUUAUAGAAGAUCUAUUCGAGAGAAGAUCAUAGUUAAAGCUUUGCGUUGAUUGGGGAACAUCAAAUACAAACAAAGACCACGCUAAAAGAAAAGCAAAAGCUGGCGAGAUUGAUAAAGAAAGACUAAUAAAGCUUUCCUUAACAGCAUUAAUCAUGAUUAUUUGAUAAACUAGAGGUGAUCACUGACAUUCAUGAGAAAUUUAACGGUAGGAAAAAGAAGUUAAAAAAAAUGGACAUUCGUGGGAAACCGGCCUUGAUGGUUAAUGUGCAACCGGAUGUGAGCAAAAGGUCACGUAGUGAGGGCAUUGUCACAUGGUUGGAGAAAUUGACAGCAUUUUUAAUUGUUGUCAAUGAGGUUGGUGAAGGUAGGAAAAGAACAAAUUUGGGUUAUUCCAUUGUUUUGGGAAAAACAUUGAAAGCGGUGAAAGAAAAUGUCAAUGAAAAUUGGUCGGAGCAGUACAAAGAUCAGUUAUGAAGAAUAUUAGGGAAAUGAAAAACUGAAAAAACAAAAAUCAAGAAAUAUGAAGAGACCAGUGAAGGGGACAUGGCAGAGGCCAAUUUAUAAAAGUAAUUGCAGAGGCGAAUUUGUAGAACUGAAAAUAGGGAGAUGAGUUGUAGGUGGGAAGAUAUGAAAAAUAAUAUACUUAAAAUUAUAUCAUUUUAGGUUAAUUUUUUUAAAAAUAAAACCAAAACCACAUCAUUUUAAAUAUAAUUCUUUAUCAAUUUAUUUUUUUUGUCUCCAAUCAUUUGCUAAACCAUAUCAAACAGGUACUUAUUCAAAUUUUACAUUUUCUGUUCUCAAAAGUAAACGAAAAUGAAAUGAAAAAAAGAAUGAGACUUGGCUCGGGUGGCUAAUGCUGACAGUGGCUAAUGAUGCCGACAUCUUCCAACUUGCAACAACGUUAAAAAUACGUAGCCUUAACUAAUUGCCUAAAUAAUAAAAAUACUUAGCCUCAGCUGACUUGUUCCAAAUCAUUAAAUAAUUCUUUUAAUUAUUAAAUAAGUUUGCUCUUGCUAAAUGCUAAUGGAUACUGAGCAGAAUGUCAAAGACGAAUAACUGCAUUUGGAAUAAAAAUAUUUCGAUAUUAGUUUGAAGGAAAAGUCUAGUAUUAAAUUGUUCUUCAAAUAUGUACAAGCUCAGAUCUUGUAAUUUGUAUGACCUUUUUUCGAAGAUGAGAAUAUUUCUACCUUACACGCUUUAGAAAAACUAGGUGAUAGGAAAAGAGUGUAGGAUAUAAAUUAAAGCUUAAUAAUAUUAUGAUCAAUUACUGAAAUAUUACCAUGGGCACUAGAUGAUAGGAAAAUAGCUCAUUUAUACAUUAAUAGAUUAUAUUAGUGAUAUAAGGACUUUUAAUCAAACUCAUGCCCCAAGUUGGGAACAGCUAAACGGGCAUUUCAUCGAACAGUUGAUAUUUGUAAGUAAGCAAGCACACGGCAAAGCAUUUGAGCAAAUAUUUUUAUCUUCUUAUUGUCGCAUUCUUCUAAUCAAUUAGCUUUGACCAACAAAAAUAAUUAAUAAUGUAAAUGGAGGAACUUGGGUUCAAAUCUAUAAAUUAAUAUCGGUAAACUACAACCCUAUUUUGAUCAAAGUUUUCAACUCAACAAAUAUAGAUUAGAGAUUAUUUGUUAAUAAAAUAUAAAAGAGCCCAAACAAAAAAAGAUUUGACAGUAUACGAAUAAUAAUUUAUACUUAUUUAUUGAAUAUAUCUUAUUUUAAUCGCUUAAGGAAUUACAAAGUUGAUGAAAAAAAAUUUAUUUUUUUUAUUUUUCACUUCUUAAAAAUUUUUGGAUGAAGAGAAUCCUCAAUCUUCAUUUACGUUCAGUGGUGGAUCCACACGGAGCCUAUAGUGGGCAAUUAAUUGACUCCCGUAAAUUUUUUUUUCCAUAAUUUUCUAUUUAUUUUUGAUAUUUUCAUGAAAUUACAUAAAUACUUGCAUAAUUGCCCCUAAUAAAUACAAAGUCUAUCAAUUUCAUUAAUUUUUUUUUAAUUAUUGUGUUGUCCCUUGUAAGCCAAAUUUUUAGAUCCGCCCUUUAAAUAGGUUGUUACAUUUAUUGUUCUCAAAAGUGAUGACUUCUCCUAGUAUGAAGCUCCUACCAUAAGAAAAAGGUCUCCAUAAAACAUUUCGAGCUUUAACUAUGAUCUUCGGUACUGAUCUAACUUUUUUUAGUCCCCCCCAAAAAAGAAGCCUAUAUAUAUAUAUAUAUGUAUAUUGUAACACAUUAGGACAUGAACUUGAAGCUUCUCAAGUGUUUAUGCAAUCCGGUUAACAUAUACAAGUUAUGAUAGGUAAAAUUGCUAAUAAAUUUAGAAGCCUAAAAUAUGGAAUUUGAUUAAGACUUACUAAUUAUUGGAGCAUUUUUUUCAUCUAGUUUUUGGAGAUUGAAAGAACUUAAAAUUACAGGUGAUCAUAUCUUAAUUGGCAGACUCUUGAUGCUGAUAAAUGACAAAAGUCGUAGAUUAGAGAGUUCUACGGAUUGAGUAGCGACUUGAGACAUUGUACAAUUUGUUCCAAUGCGAAUGAUUCAUAGUGACUGCACAUAUGGCACCUUUUUGUCGAAAUGACACAAUUUCUCUUCAUUGUGCUAGAGAAAGGUGGGUAGAUUUCUGUUGUACAAGCAUUAUUGGAAGAGAUAUCAAGCCACUCAAUGUUCAGAUGGUCCAAACAUGUGUUCAGGAGGCACUAACAUAGCAGAAAUUGAGAUAGUUUUAGUUUCAUCAUACACUAAAAAAAUAUACACCAGAGAUGGAGCGAGGUGUAGCGGAAGCGAAAAUUGAUAGGAUAGGAAACACUAGUUAUCAUUUUAGUACAGGAUUAAGCCAACGCGAUUAGGUUAUACUCUAAUCGAAGCGUGAUUAGAUAUCGUUUUAAUCCAAACGACUCAAUGGGAUUUUUAAUAACACGUGAUGUGAGAUUAGAUGACGCUCUAAUCCAAACGACUCUACAAGAGAGAUUUUGAUAGAUAAUCCCAGAGGGAAUUAUAAAAUGGGAGUUUUAUUGAAUAAUUGAAUCUGAAGUGCUCAAAACAAUGACAAGAUCUCUCUAGUUAUAAUAGAGGAAACCCACUUUCCUAAAUUAACCUAAAAGGGAAACUGAAUCACAAUUAGAAUGGAAAUAAAAGACUAAGAUACAUACCAUAAUUGACUCAAACUAAAAUAGGAAAUCCUAAAACAAUAAAUAUUCUAGAAUCCUAAAUUACCUAAAAUAACGUAAAUUAACUUCCUACAUCAUUCUUCCCCUCUUAAAAGAAACUCGUCCUUGAGUUUGAAUACAGUCUGGAGGAUGAAACUUAUAGUGUAUGAGCAAAUCAUCUUGUAAUUUGAACUUGUAGCCUUGCUCAUCAAUCUUCCUCGAAACUUUGAAGUAUCCUAACUUCAUCAACUUCCUUCGCUUGUACAUUCUUCGAGUCGAUGACGACUUUCAAGAACGAACAAUGAUCAAAUAACUCUUGCACUUCCCCAAUUGUCGCUCAAUGCGCUCGCCAAUAAGUUUCACCUUUUCAACCAAAUCUUCUUCAAGCACAAUCUUUUUUUCUUCAAUGUGAAUAGGCAGAACCAUUUCAAUCAUUUCAACUUCUUCACCUUGAUUUUGUUGUACAACCUCGAUCGUAUUGUUAAGCUCACUGCUUAAAUUAAGUGCAGAUUAUAUAUCUUCUUUAAAAAUAUCAAAUAGAUCAAUAAUAUCAUCAUCUUCAACACUUAUCUUCUCUUCCAAGGAAACAUCACGCACAUUCUUGAACAACUUGUCAGAUUGAAACCUUAAAUCAAUAACAAAUUGUACAUUUUCUUCUGGCAACUCAUGCGAGUCUUCUUCCUUAACAAUAGGAGAACUCAUUGGUACAUCUUUGGGCACUUUCAUGGUGACACGCCAUUUCUUGCUUAAAUUCUGGAUUUCGUCAAGUUUUUUAAUCACAUCAUCAAAGUUUCUUUGACGUUGCGACUUAAUUUGCGAUUCGAUUUUCUUGGCUAAAUGAAUUGCAUGCUGUAAAUUAUAGAUAGUGUAUAUAGGCAUCCUUUCUUGAAUAUGCAAAUCAAGCCCUUUAAUAAAUCUUGUAAUUGUAUUCUCUUCAGGCUCAUAAUAAUAAUGGCAUCCAUAAAAUCGUUCAAACUCAUAAGCACAAGCAGAAACAGAUCUCGUACCUUACUGUACCAAACAAUAAUCAAGAGGAAUAAACUCAGAUCGCAAAAUAUGCUUCAUACGGUUCCAUGAUUGAACUUUGCAUUUGCCUUGGUCAAGUCGAGAAAUUUGCAACUCAUCGCACCAUUCUGAAGCACUUAUGCUUAAUCUACUGGCAGUAAACGAGACUUGCUUUUCUUUAGGAGUGUGCCAAAAUAGAAACUAGUGCUUAACCUUGUCCAACCAAUCAAGAAAUUUGUUUGGACGUGUAUUUUGUAAAUAAUAUCGGCACAUGAUAAAUAGGAGGGCAAUGAUGGUAGCUUGCCAUUUAAGUUUCCACACAAUGGCAAAAUUGUAAUUAAGGCUCAACUCUCGGGUUUGGUAUGGUCGGCAGCUGGUGGCCGUGAUUGGGACCAGAGGGUAUCGGAUCUGGGAGAUUUGGUGAUAAGGAACUCGAUGAUGGUCGUGGAUCGGGCAGAUUCGCUGCGUUUUGGUCGGAAAUCUGACUUAAAGUGGCGGCUGAUUUUGGUGAUGUGGCUUUUGGUUUAUGGCGGCCUUACGGUGGCGGACGGCUGGAUUUAUGGUCGCCGAUUGCUAGGGAUUAUGGUGGUGGUAGUGCAAAUUGACCGAAAAAGGGGGUGGUUUGGUGGCGGCGCAUGUGGGAAGCACUCGUGGGUUGUCGUUUCGUGUGGUGGCUGCGGGCGGCGAUCAAGGGCUGAAGUUGGUCGGUGUUUUGGUUAGUGGAGGCCUGCAAGCUUGUUGGUAGAGGUGGUUGGCUGUGAAAGUGGCUGAAUGGUGGUGGAUUGCUUGGUGGAGCCGCGGGUUUGGGUUGGUGAUUUGCGGCGGUUGAGGCGGCGAUGGUUGAGGCUUGGUCGGCAGUGGCUAGCGAGGUUUGUGGUGGUGUUGGCUGGCUGAUCGGUGGUGGAAGUUGAUGUGGUGGCUAGGGUUUUCAAAUUUGUAAAGUUUUGAUUUAUUUUAUUUUAUUUAUUUAUUUUUUGUGAUGGAUCUGAUGUGGAUGGAUAUGGGUAGUCAGGAAAGUUGUGCAAUUCGCACAAAACUGCUCUAAUACCAACUAAUGGAGCGAGGCGUAGCGGAAGCGGAAAUUGAUAGGAUAUGAAAUACUAGAUAUCGUUCUAGUACAGGACUAAGCCAACGCGAUUAAGUUAUGCGCUAAUUGAAGCAUGAUCAGAUAUCGUUCUAAUCCAGACAACUCAAUGAGCUUUUUAAUAACGCGUAAUGCGAGAUUAGAUGACUCUUUAAUCCAAACAACUUUACAAGAGAGAUUUUGAUAGAUAAUCCCAGAAGGAAUUAUAAAAGAGGAGUUUUAUUGAAUAAUUGAAUUUGAAAUGCUCAAAACAAUGACAAGAUCUCUCUAUUAGAGGAAACCCAAUUCCCUAAGUUAACCUAAAAAAGAAACUAAAUCACAAUUAUAAUAGAAAUAAAAGACUAAGAUAUAUACCAGAAUUGACUCAAACUAAAAUAGAAAAUCCUAAAACAAUAAAUAUUCUAGAAUCCUAAAUUAUCUAAAAUAACGUAAAUUAACUUCCUACAUUAUUCAAUACAUCAAUAACAAGUGCACAAACACAAAUAUGAUACACUCAUCUCUUUAAUUAAUUCAAGGCUUAAAUACUCUUUCGGUUGAAUCCAAAUUGAACAUGGUAGCUCUUGGACACCAUCCAUGAGAAAUAAAACUAGCUUCAAAUUAGAUUUCUAAGUACUCAAACAAAGCUAGAAGCAUAAUAAGUUAGAUUUCUAAUUACUCAAACAAAGCAAGAAGCAUAAUAACGAAAUGAAGAAAGAAACAAAAGGUCCCCUCACCAACGCCAUCUGACUCUUAGUAUAUAGAAAGAACUCGAGGCCUUAUUCUAGAUGCUGCACAGAAGGUUGGCCCGCAUUGUCUUCAUAAGUUUGGACUCUCUAUAAACAAAGAGCAAAAACACAUUGAAGGUGUAGUUUUCACAUAAUUAAAUUGCACAAAUUAGCCUCCAUCAUAACCAGUUAAUGCUUAAGAACACAGAAAUCCUUCAAUUCUCUCUAUAAGCAAUUACUUUCAUUUUUUUCAAUUUCUUGUUCGCUAUAUCAUAUCUAAUAGCUAAUCUUCAACAUAACAAUACAGCAGAGUAGUUAUGUUUUAAAAAGAUGUACCAAUGUGAUUUAACAUAAAUAAAACGUAUUUAAUCAGCACAAAAAUAAAAUCAAAACCUCCCAAUUUGUAUGGAUUUUACCUUGCCACUGUCUUUUGCAUCUUCCUUCUUUUCAUUAGCCUUGUUGGGCGUCUCAUUCUUUUUUUUCCUUCUCUUCCUAAUCAGAUUUAAAAUGAAUUUGUCAAAAAUUUGAUGGGUACUUUUUCUUUUUCCUUUUUUAUAUAUAUCCGUUAUUGAAUCAAACUUUUACAAAAAAUCAACAUCUCGUAUUGAAUGAAUACAUACCUUUUUUUUUAAGAUAUAGGUAUUGAAUGGUUGUAUUAAGGUCGCGAUCCAAAGUCCAACAUUCUUCAUCAUCCCACCGUUUAAGCUGCACUUGGUGUAACUUGGGUGUGCUUAAUUCUCCUCCUGAGAAAAUGUUCAUAUUGGGGCAAUUAUCCACCACUAAUCUUUCCAGAGAUGGGAAUUUGAAGGCGCAAUUAUUGCCAGAGCAGAAUCCUGUCAGACUUUCUAAGUUCCAGAGCAGCAAUUCCUUCAAUUCGCUGAAAACAAUUUCAUUUUUUGCUGCAUAAUUAUCUCCCUCAUCACCGUCAUCUGCCACUAUUUCUAUUAUCAUCUUGCAUCUACCUAUGCCCAUUUCCCUCAGUCGCACCAGACUCUUUGCAAUUGAGGAUGUUAGUACAUUUAUCAAUCCUAUGCAAUUAUAUACCAUCAAAGUAGUUAGAUUUUGAAACGAUGUCGAGGAUGGCACUAGAUUAAUCAAAUUGUGACAGUCACAUAUGUCCAGGUUUUCCAAAUUGUUGGCAUUGGAGGACUCUUGUUUCAAAAUUUGCUUCAGACCACGAUGCCGGUUUAUUCCUCUUAUCAUUGCCUUCAUCCCGUUUUCAACCUUUCCAAAUAGUCUAAAAAUAUACUCGUCUCCUCCUAUAAUGAGAACUUUGGUUGUGUGAAAUCUCUGGAGGAAAUCGUCGAGUGAUAAAAUAGCUGUUGACUCAUCAAUCCAGACAUCAAGAAGUUUAAGUUUGCAAAGCAAGUCUUCUGGAAAUAGACCUAUGUACUUUUCAUCAAUACUCAAAUCUUCCAAAUUGGGGAACAUCUGGGUGAUCAACAAUCACAAAAAAAAAAAAAAAAAAGCAAGAGGGAGUUAAAUCUUCUUUCUAACGAUUUCAAAAAUUAAAGUAAAUACAAAGCAUUUCAAUGAUGAAUAUUGAUGGCCGGACAAAUUUAUGGAUAUGUAGAGAGAGUAUGAUUUUCAGCGGUAAUUAUUUUCUUUUUUUUUUCAAAUAUAGUAAGUGAUGUGUAUUUUUUUUUUCAUCCUCUCUUCUUAACUUUCAAAUUUUAUUAGAUUUGUGCAUAAUGUCUACAAAAAAGACUUCAAUUAUUCUCAAAUUGCAUUUGAACUUCUAGAUUCUUUUAAUCGAUCCGCUUAUUUGGUUUCAGUUGAAAAUCUUACAAAUUUCUUUUUUUUUUUUUUAAAUUGGUUUUUUUAACUUUUUUCUUUUCAAGAGCAAAAAUGAAUAAAUAACUUGAUUUUAAAAAGUUUAAUAAUAUAGUAAGAAGCUGGUAUUUCAUUAAUAUUCAUCCAACUCAAUGGAAUUGGAUAUAUUUACUAUUGUACAAGAAUGGAUUUUCUUGUACAUAAAGUUUAAUAAGAUAAGAUUUCUUCAUUUGAGUUUUGUCCAUCUCUCUCUUUAUAUUUUUAAAAAUAUUAUUUUUGUUAACACAAAAUGACCAAUUUCUUCUUCAACAUCAAAAUUGACAAUCAUUUUGUAUGUAACAAUACUGUAGUAAGGACUACUAAUUUUAAAUAGCUCUUAAAAGAUUAUCAGGGAAUUAACUGUGGCUUGAAAAACCGUAGAUAUUUUGAGUAUUUUCUUCGUUUGGCUAAUCAAAUGCAGAGUCUCUUUCGUGUAUUUAACUAAACAUAUAGACAUAAAAUAAAAAGUAGAUGAAGAAGAAAAAAACUGAUAAUUAAGAGAAAAAAUUUGAACGAGAAGGAAAAAAAAAUACUAAAUAAUUUUGUAUUCAUUCUUUCUAACUGACAUCCAAAUCCAUCUAUGGUUGUAGCCAAUUCAAUAUUCGAUAAUAAGAAGAAUUAUUGAAGAAUGAUAAUUAUGUUUAUAUCGAAUAUUGAUAAUUAUGUUUAUAAGGAUAUUAUAUUAGUAUAAAUAAGCUGAUUUAUAGAACUAACAUUUUGUUACUAAAAGACAAAUUGAUGAGGGCAAUAUAUGGCGACAAUAAAGCUCUAAACUCUCAAGUAGAAAUACUUUUAAGUACGUAAGAAUUGAACAAUAAUUACAAAAGUCUUGCACGUACCUUUUUGGUGGUCUCAUGAAUAGUGCUUUUAAAUUUCACAUGGGGACAUCCCCUUAUUAUUAAUUGUUUCAAGGAUGGAAAUUCAAAAUGCAGAUCUCCUGUGCAGAAGCUUGUAAGCUGCGGAAGAGAACCAAGUUCAAGUGUCCUUAAUUGAGUGAGUUCAAUCACUUGAGUGAUAUUAUUGCUGGAUUCAUCUCCUCUAUCGGCAGCAAAAAUCACUUCCAUAUUCUGGCAUUUUGUCACUUCAAUGGACUGAAGUUGUUGAAGGCCUCUGCCAAUGAGCAAUGGAAACACAUUUUUCAAUUUAUCACACCUUUGCACCCUUAUGUUCUUUAAUUUGCAAAAGGACUCUGCUGUGAGUGAACCACGACAUAUUUUCUCUAGGUUACCCAAAUCUUCCAGAAAUAAUGACUCCAAGAGGGGGAACGCUGUCAGCGCUGUUGCACAAUCCACUGUGUCAACAACACAAAAAAGGCUGCGAUUAUCUCGGACUUCGAGAUGCUUCAGCUGUGGAAAACCUUCUCUGCCAGGUUCACAAAGAACAUUCUUCAUGUCCAGCAAUCCAUGUAAAGAUAGGUCUUCAAUACCCUUCAAUUGCAUGAUAUGCCCCUCGCUCAGGCAAAUGUUGGCACCAUUGGUGAUCUUCAGUUUGAAUUUUCUAGAAAACCCAUCCAAUAUUGGGUCAUCCGACCACAGAUAUCCUAUGAAUAUCCUGUACCUUUUCAGGAUUUUGAAGAACAACAAGUCGCUUGGUAGAGUCUUUUCAUCUUGGAUGAGUAUUUCUAAAGAGGUCAAUUUAGAUAAAUGAUUCAACUCAUGAAGGCUGGCAUUUCUUCUUUCACUGUCGAGCCCUUCAACCUUCCCCCACUGAAUGGGACUCUCACCAAUAUACAGUUCUUCUAAUCGAGAUAAGCUUGAUAUAACAUUUGGUGGAAUAACUUUUAGUUCGAAACACUUGCUCAAAUCCAACAACCUCAAUUGAGUCAGCUGGCCCAUUUCUCCAACCAGUUUCUCCACAUCAGAACCUCGAAGUGAAAGGAUUUCUAAUUUCUUUAGGUCUCCAAUAAUAGCGAUGUCUCCUAGGUUGCAGUAAUCCAGACACAGUGUUUGAAGGUUUUGUAAGAGACCAAGCGAUGAAGGCAAUGGCAAUAAAUGCAUCUCAGUGAAAUCUAAAACUUUAAGCCCAGUCAUCCCAGUAAAAAAAUUAUCUGGGAUUCUCAAAGAUGGAUCAUUGCCAAUACGAAAAUAUUUAAGUUGCGGGCAUUCGAAACCUUGAGGAAGCUCACUAAUAUUACUAUAAAUCAAGGAGAUUGCGGUGCAAACCUUUAGUUUUUCCUUAUCUGGCCAGCUGAUCUGCGGAGCAACCUCACUUUCCACCACAAACACAUGUUGGUCUCCAGAUGCAAUUGAUAUGGCUGCAUCACGAACAACAUCAUGCAUAGAAAACCGUUCACUUGUAUUACCGUCAAGCAACAAACAAGAUUUUUUGAGUUUAUCAACCAAUGUAUGUGCUCUAUCCCACGCCUCUUCCGACGUGUUGAUGUUUUGAAACAGACCCAAACCCAUGCCAUGAUAAAGCACGUCUUUAACGCAAGAGAUGAACGCGUACCCUAUAAGCAAAAACGUUCUCUUGAGCUCCUCCCUGUUUAAAUGAUUGUAACUCAGCUCUAUACUUUUAUAUGCCACCUCCAGUGUUCCACUGAUGUUUCUGAAGGAAGGCCUUCUUAAUUCCAGCAAGGAAUCCUUCCAUUCAAACAAUCUCUUAUUUCUUAGUGCCCUGGCUACGGGUACAAUGGCAAUGGGCAAACCAGCACAUUCCUUGACUAUCUCUGUUGCUACAGAUUUCAGUUCACCAUUUUCUAUGCAAUCACCUGUCAUCUUCCGGAAAAGACUCCAAGCUUCUUUUUCAUUCAGAACAUCAACAAAAAAAUUUUGUUGACAAUCCAUCUUACAGGACAACACAUCUUGACUUCUUGCUGUCAGAAGAACUUUGCAUCCGCUGUUAUCAUCUGCCAAUGGAAUUCCAAUCGCCUCCAAAUCAAGACCCCCCCAAAUAUCAUCCAAGAUUAUAAGGAUCUUUUUCUCUUUCUUCAAUCUUUCAAGCAGCCUCCCUGCUCUUACAGUUUCAUGACUCUGUUCAGCCAAUUCUAAGCCUAUCUUCUCUGAGAUUUCUCCUUGUAUAUUUUUUAUUUGCGGUGUUGGCGAAACACGUGAAGAAAUGACCUUCUCAAAGAGAUUAUUUUCCUUUGCCUGUCUGCCAACUUCUUUCACCAGCGUUGUCUUUCCAAUGCCGCCCAUCCCGUACACUCCAAUCAUGUUGAAGUCACGGUUGCUGAGUGCGUCUAGUAUCUCCUUAAAAGUGGACUUUCUCGAUUCAAAGUGCAUGAAAUCCUGGGUAGACUUAAGCCAUGUCUCCUCUGGAAUGGUACGGAAAGAAACACUGUCGAAUCUCCCUUUUUCAUGGAGUCCAACAAUAGCAUUCGUCUCUCUUUCUGCUUUCUUGCUAAGCUGGUACCGAGUCCUCAAAUUAGGACAUAACCCCUUCAAACACCGGUUGUUUGAAUUCUCUUUGUCUUCAAUAAGUGUUUCGACUUCAUUGAUCUCCUUGUUCGCAGCAAUCAGCCACUCCUCAACGUGCUGUUGAAUUCCGUCCCCUUUAAUUCUGGAAUCAUCAACCUUAUACUGCAUACUGUCUCUAGAAUUCUUUAGCUUAUCGACUUCAUUAUUCAGCUUCUCGAAGUUGGUCUUGUAAGUGCAGCAGUAAGUAAAUGGAUAAAUUAUGGGAGCAACCAAGUACUCGGCAACUUUUGCAGCAACGGAGAUAACAAUUUCCAUUAUCCCUUUCUUUUUUAUUUUUCGCUUUCAGAAAACAGGGGAAAGCAAAACUAAUCAAACUAAGCAGCAGUAAUCAAUCAGCUGGGAUGAGGGAAAUAAGAAGUUUGGAUAAAUUGCUAAAAUAAGAGGUUGAAUAGAUUUAAGGGAGGAGGAGAGGCAAAGAGUGAAAAAUCUAGAGAUGAAACAAAGGGGAUCCUUUGUAAAGGCAGAAAAUGAAAGCUUUGCAAAGAAGGUGUAGGAUCGAGGACAAGAACGAUUCAGAAAAGGGAGACAGAAAAUGAAGAAGAGAUUUCAGAGAACUCUAGAGAUUAGAGAAGAGGGAUGAUUAGGAAAAUGCAGAGGCAGACAGUUGUGAUCUCAAGUCUCAAGGGUAAUCUGAAUACUGCAAAAAAGCCAAACUAAAUUCAUACAAGGAGAAGACUCGUGCUUCCAAGUCAACUAGAUGCUUAAUAACUGAGAUAGAUGGUUA